rnacentral:rRNA from 1 species
GACGAACGCUGGCGGCGUGCCUAAUACAUGCAAGUCGAACGCAGUGGGGACGGGUGAGUAACACGUGGGUAACCUCCCAUCAGAGGGGAUAACACCUGGAAACAGGUGCUAAACCGAUACUGAUGGAUGAACCCGCGGUGCAUGAGCUAGUUGGUGAGGUAACGGCGCACCAAGGCCACGAUGCAUAGCCGGCCUGAGAGGGUGAUCGGCCACACUGGGACUUGAGCACGGCCCAGAGUGCUACGGAAGGCAGCAGGAGAGAAUCUUCGGCAAUGGACGAAGGUCUGACCGAGGAACGCCGCAUGAGUGAAGAAGGUUUUCGGUUCGUAAAACUCUGUUGUUAUAGAAGCGGUGUCUAACCAGAAAGCCACGGCUGACUACGUGCCAGCAGCCGCGGUAAUUC